UCCGGUUGAUCCUGCCGGACUCCACUGUUCCGGUUGAUCCUGCCGGACUCCACUGCUAUCGGGGUAAGGCUAAGCCAUGCAAGUCGAAGGCCUCCGGCUCCGGGGGCCUGGCGUACGGCUGAGUAACGCGUGGCCAACCUGCCCUGCGGAGGGGGAUAACCCCGGGAAACUGGGGAUAAACCCCCAUAGGUGACCGGGUCUGGAAGGACCGGUCGCCGAAAGUCCCGGUCGGGGAUGCUCCGGCCGGGAGCCGCAGGAUGGGGCUGCGUCCUAUCAGGUAGCUGGUGGGGUAACGGCCCACCAAGCCUGUGACGGGUAGGGGCCCUGAGAGGGGGAGCCCCCAGAUGGACUCUGAGACAAGAGUCCAGGCCCUACGGGGCGCAGCAGGCGCGAAAACUCCGCAAUGGGCGAAAGCCCGACGGGGUUACCCCGAGUGCCACCCUCGUGGUGGCUUUUGCCCGCUCUAAAAAGGCGGGCGAAUAAGGGGAGGGCAAGUCGGGUGUCAGCCGCCGCGGUAAUACCCGCUCCCCGAGUGGUGGAGGCUAUUACUGGGCCU
rnacentral:rRNA from 1 species